AACGAACGCUGGCGGCAUGCCUAACACAUGCAAGUCGAACGAAGGCUUCGGCCUUAGUGGCGCACGGGUGCGUAACGCGUGGGAAUCUGCCCUUAGGUUCGGAAUAACAGUUAGAAAUGACUGCUAAUACCGGAUGAUGACGUAAGUCCAAAGAUUUAUCGCCUGAGGAUGAGCCCGCGUAGGAUUAGCUAGUUGGUGUGGUAAAGGCGCACCAAGGCGACGAUCCUUAGCUGGUCUGAGAGGAUGAUCAGCCACACUGGGACUGAGACACGGCCCAGACUCCUACGGGAGGCAGCAGUGGGGAAUAUUGGACAAUGGGCGCAAGCCUGAUCCAGCAAUGCCGCGUGAGUGAUGAAGGCCUUAGGGUUGUAAAGCUCUUUUACCCGUGAUGAUAAUGACAGUAGCGGGAGAAUAAGCCCCGGCCAACUCCGUG
rnacentral:rRNA from 1 species